GGGGCUGUGGCUCAGUGGUAGAGCACUCGCCCAGCAUGUGCGAGGCACUGGAUUCGAUCCUCAGCACCA
rnacentral:tRNA from 1 species